UUUUCUUGACUUCCUGGCUGUAAUGCAAUGAUUUGAUUUCUGUUUAACUGAUAUUUCUUUUAUCAAUUCUCGCAUUGCUUCUCAUGUGACAAAAUAAAACUCUGAUUCUUUUUUCCGUUUUUGCAGAACAGGAAAUAACCACUUGGCCCCGUUUCUGGUGGUUUUGCCUGUACCAGAAUGUCCUAGAGAAAUACAACCCGUUACAAACCUCAGAAUGUCAGGGGAAGAUGGAUGGCCUGGAAUAUUUUGAACAAUAUAAAUUGAGCAGAGUAUAGAAUAUCUUACAUUUUAAGCUAAGCUCUAUUUUCUGGAAAAAAAGGAAAAUAUGGCUAAAAUAUUUCAUAGCACAAAUCAGCCUUGAUUCCUUCAAAAUCAUUCAAAUAAUUGUAUGUUGAUGAGAACAAGUUCUUUGCUUUUUAAUGAUGGUGUAUAUGAGUAAUUCAGAGCCUUAUUUCAACAUUACUGGUCAAUCUAUGCCUUUUAUUGACAUUAACCUUCCUGUAAAAUGAGACCAUUUAAGUUCACCUUUCAAUUGACUGGCUGACAUUAUAAGUCACCUAUUCUGAGAUUUAAUCAAGUAUAAACUGAAAGUCUUCUCUAGGUCAUGUUACCUAGUCUAGUAAAAUUUGUUUGAAACAAGGCCCUUAAUGCUGAUCAUCAAGCUCACACUGCCCUGGGUUCAUGAUUUCCUUAACUCAUUGCUUUCUGAAAUCUUUAUUUGCUUCACUUUUCUUUGUUUCCGUUUUUCCCCAUCACCCUGUGCAGGAAAGGUGAGCGCUAACUCUAUUGAGUGUGUUUGUUGCCAUGGUGAAGAAAAUAGUACAAUUCCCCAGUUAAUAGAGUAUCAGGGUGAGGAAGAUAUUUCUUCCAAGCUCCCAUGAUUUUCAUUUCAUUACAGUGGAACUAAAGAGCACUGACAGGCCUGUUGAAGAAAAAUCUGAUGUUAGAUGUAGUUCAUAAUGUCAUGCUAUUCACUCAGAAUAUAUAGUACUUCCCUUGGAGACAUUAUUUAAAAUGCUUGCAAUGGAGAAAUGUUUGAAAAGGGACUUCAUGUGGUCAUUUACUUCCUAACUAAAAAAGAACUGGUAUUCUAUAGAUUUCCAUUUUGAGAACUGGACAGUAACAGAGUAAUAUUGCUGCAAAAUAUCUUAUUAAUUCAUGCUUUAAAAAAUGAUUUGUGGCUUUUCUAAAGGAAAAUGUCUUCAUUUAGCUGUCCCAUCUAAACUUGGGUGUGGAAAGCAUAAAGAACCUAUCUUUCACAAGUACAAAGGGUAAUGCAUUUUUAGUAAUGUAUGUGGUUCUGAACAGAAAAUCUUUUACUCCUAUCCCUUCUCUCUCAUUUCUUUCCAUCUCUUCUACUUACUCCUCCUACUCACCCCAACCUCUCUUCACAUGCACUUAUAGAUUCACAAGAGCCAAAUGUGUCAGGAAUGUUUACUAGAAGACAGAAGAAAGUAGCUAAGGUCCAACAGUGUAGCUGAAUGUCUCCCAUGAAUUUUUUAUUUGUUAGGUAAUUCAAAACACCACAGCUGAACCUUGUGUAAGAGGUCAUGUCAACUUCACAAUCUUUCGUUAAAAUAGAAGCAAAUAGAAAGCUUUCUUAAUUGCAUUUUUUUCUACUUAUCUAAGUCUAAUUUACUAUGAUGAAAUGUACUUUGUUGAGCAUUCCAUUGUUUCAAUAAAGAAAGAAAAUAAAGAAAAAUAAUUGUUAAAAACAUAGAUUAAAGAAAAGUAAGAAUAUUUGAAAAUAGCAAAUUUCCAAUUUCUAACUCCAUUGUUAGGUUGCCAGGUCCUUUAUGAACCCUGAGAUUGUUAGAACUGCAAAUAAAGUAGAAUAGAAUGUUGAAGUGGGUUAUGUUGAAGUCUGCCGAUAGACAACACAAAGGUAUGUUAUGUUAGAAAUUUUCUGUCUAAAUAUAGUUCAAAUAAUAAAAAAAGAAAGAAAAAAAAGAUGAAUGUAUUCAAGACUUUCUUUAGAGGAAAGAAAGUUAGCUUUAAUAAUAGAUAGUAGAUAUUUUGUCAAGAAGUUGUGUUAGAGUAGGUGCUAUUGAGAUGGAUAUGUGGGAAAGUGGAAGAAGUUAAUAAUUGUAGAGCACUCAUGCUGUGUUAUGCACCUUAUACAAUUUAUCUUGUAUAAUCUUUGUUUAUUGUAAGCUUGAGAAGGUGUGUAGCAAUGUGCACAUUUUCACAAAUAAAGGGAGAAAAGAAAUCUUUUUCUCAAGCUCCUAGAAUAGAACACUUGAAGUCAGGUCCAUAGAAUGUCAUACCUUGUUGUCUGACCCCUGCUGAUAAGGGAUGCCAAAGUUUCCAGUAUUUUGGAAAAAGGAGCAUUGGAAGAGAAAUUGUAGAGAGAGCAAAUUCAUAAAUAUCGCCUGGUUAAUUCCAUUUUAUUAUCAUUUCUCACAAAACAAAAUAGAUGUUUUGAUGGUCACAUUACCAGGGAAUUUUGUGUUUUCAGCUGGAUGUUGCAAGUCUUUGUGUGAUCAUCCUCCAAAUCUCACAACAUCCCUUCCAUUUAAUUAUAAUCUAUUGACUGUAUUGUUCCGUUUUACAGACAAUGACAAUAUUUAUUUGCAUCCAUUAAAAAACAUAAAUCUGAGCACUUUUAAAGAUCACAUCAAACUUGAGAGAAAGACUGUACCUCAACAGAGAGAAGAAAUAGAAGACAUGGACACUGCCUCUUAAGAACAUAAAAUCUAAUUGUUGAGGCAGGUCAAACUAAGAAAUAUAAGUGCAUUUGAGACUCAUAUAAUUAAGCACAACACAAAUAUAGACUGAUAGAAGUUUCAUUGCAGAUAAGGCCCGAAGAUCCAGACUGAUGAUAAGCCUAAAGCUGGUAGAGGACAAUCACCACUGGAUUCUACCACAGAAGGCUGUAAACACACCUGAAGAUUUUUACUAAAGUUACCAAAAUCACUAUCAUUCCAGGGAAUCCAGCUACCAUGGUGAGUAGCACUACAGAGAGUCCCACGCAGCAAAGAAUUGAAACUUCUAAACAAUACCCAUGAGAGAAGAUUCAAGGAGGAACUGAAAUAGAGAGAGGGUCCUUUGCAAAACAGCAUCAAACAGAUCCCAGUUACUUGUAACAUCUGCCCUGCCAUCGGAAUAACAUAAUGAGAGUCCUGGGCAACCCAGAGAGAAGUGUAAAUAACAGCAGUUACUAAUCAGAACACCGCUGAAUUUUGAAAAAUUUUUGCAUGCUUUAAUUUCUUCACAUUUUAAGUAAUUAUACUAAUUAUGAGAGUGCUGUGUG